CUUCUUUCCAUUUUCCUCAGCAAUGCAUGUGUUUCGUUCCUGUUUUACAAUAAAGUUUUGGACAUCUUGAAUUUUUGGGUGGUUUUUGUCUCGAGUUAUCUUCUGGUAUUUGUGCAAUAUCAUCAAUCAUUGAAGGGAAGGAUAUAAUGAAAUUGCAACAUCCUGGUUUUGUAUUUGACUAAUUUCUGAUGAGAUGUUUAUCAAUGGUCUUCUCAAGCUUUUUACAUUUCAACUAAGAAGCAUUUCCAGAGGCGUGCAACGCAACAACAAGUUAUUUACGAGAUAAAAAGAGGGGUCUGCGUAAGUCAUUUGAAUAGUUGGAUAUGUCAUUGCUUUCAGUUUCUGGUAGGACAUAUAAGACAAAUAUAGAGAUGAGGUAGAAUUCUUAAAGCAUUCUUUAAUUUGAAGACCUUAUAUAAGCCAAUAACUGUA